AGGUGCGGCUGGAUCACCUCCUUUCUAAGGAGCACCACGAAAACGCCCCAACUGGUGGGGCGUAGGCCGUGAGGGGUUCUUGUCUGUAGUGGGCGAGAGCCGGGUGCAUGACAACAAAGUUGGCCACCAACACACUGUUGGGUCCUGAGGCAACACUCGGACUUGUUCCAGGUGUUGUCCCACCGCCUUGGUGGUGGGGUGUGGUGUUUGAGAACUGGAUAGUGGUUGCGAGCAU
rnacentral:misc_RNA from 1 species